UGAUGGAAGAAGGAGCUGCCCGCUUCUCGCCUGAUCGACGCUAUAUGUUGUUGGCAGGUUUUAGAUCUAAAUUAAUCAUUCAUUAAAUAACUUGAAUGAAAAGCGGGUGCUUUGUGCCCGCUUUUUUUAUUGCGC
rfam:Virgibacillus soli strain PL205 scaffold000021, whole genome shotgun sequence.